rnacentral:rRNA from 1 species
AGAUGCAGUGUACCCGCGGCAAGACGGAAAGACCCCGUGAACCUUUACUAUAGCUUGACACUGAACAUUGAGCCUUGAUGUGUAGGAUAGGUGGGAGGCUUUGAAGUGUGGACGCCAGUCUGCAUGGAGCCGACCUUGAAAUACCACCCUUUAAUGUUUGAUGUUCUAACGUUGACCCGUAAUCCGGGUUGCGGACAGUGUCUGGUGGGUAGUUUGACUGGGGCGGUCUCCUCCUAAAGAGUAACGGAGGAGCACGAAGGUUGGCUAAUCCUGGUCGGACAUCAGGAGGUUAGUGCAAUGGCAUAAGCCAGCUUGACUGCGAGCGUGACGGCGCGAGCAGGUGCGAAAGCAGGUCAUAGUGAUCCGGUGGUUCUGAAUGGAAGGGCCAUCGCUCAACGGAUAAAAGGUACUCCGGGGAUAACAGGCUGAUACCGCCCAAGAGUUCAUAUCGACGGCGGUGUUUGGCACCUCGAUGUCGGCUCAUCACAUCCUGGGGCUGAAGUAGGUCCCAAGGGUAUGGCUGUUCGCCAUUUAAAGUGGUACGCGAGCUGGGUUUAGAACGUCGUGAGACAGUUCGGUCCCUAUCUGCCGUGGGCGCUGGAGAACUGAGGGGGGCUGCUCCUAGUACGAGAGGACCGGAGUGGACGCAUCACUGGUGUUCGGGUUGUCAUGCCAAUGGCACUGCCCGGUAGCUAAAUGCGGAAGAGAUAAGUGCUGAAAGCAUCUAAGCACGAAACUUGCCC